ensembl:snoRNA small nucleolar RNA, H/ACA box 24B
CUCUAUGUAUCUUCGAGACCUGUCAGCUGUGGCAGUCUCCCUUUCUAGCCAUGGAAGAGCAUAUUCUUGUUUAUUGGCAAAGCUGUCACCAUUUAAUUGGUAUCACAUUCUGACUUGUACAAGUAACGUUC